CAGCAACAGAGUCAGCAGUAAACCCAGUACUAAAACAGAAAGUCACCAUACAAAUGUUCAAAGAUACAGAAGGGUGUUCCUUUCUUUAGAGGAGAUGAAACGACGUCCAUCAGAGGACUAGAUUACGGCGCGAUGACACUCAGUAACUGCAGUAGGACACACUGCACUCACAAAGGAGAGCAGGAGGAGCAAGCUUUUCCUGUAAAGGGCCACCCGAUAGUGAAACUCAUCGUUAAGAAGAUAACGCUCCAGACACAAACUAGUAUCUCGGGAAACUGAAGCCAAGC